rnacentral:rRNA from 1 species
AUUGAACGCUGGCGGCAUGCCUAACACAUGCAAGUCGAGCGAGCGGCGGACGGGUGAGUAAUGUCUGGGAAACUGCCUGAUGGAGGGGGAUAACUACUGGAAACGGUAGCUAAUACCGCAUACCAUCAGAUGUGCCCAGAUGGGGUUAGCUAGUAGGUGGGUAAACGGCUCACCUAGGCGAAGAUCCCUAGCUGGUCUGAGAGGAUGACCAGCAAAACGGGAAUGGAGACACGGUCCAGACUCCUAGGGGAGGCAGCAGUGGGGAAUAUUGCACAAUGGGGGCAGGCCUGAGGCAGCCAUGCGGGGUGUGUGAAGAAGGCCUUCGGGUUGUAAAGCACUUUCAGCGGGGAGGCGUUACCAGCAGAAGAAGCACCGGCUAACUCCGUGCCAGCCGCCGCGUAAUUC